rnacentral:piRNA from 1 species
AUUAAUUAUUACACAAACUGCAGUGC